AGCGAACGCUGGCGGCAGGCCUAACACAUGCAAGUCGAACGAACUCUUCGGAGUUAGUGGCGGACGGGUGAGUAACACGUGGGAACGUGCCUUUUGGUUCGGAAUAACUCAGGGAAACUUGUGCUAAUACCGAAUGUGCCCUUCGGGGGAAAGAUUUAUCGCCAUUAGAGCGGCCCGCGUCUGAUUAGCUAGUUGGUGAGGUAACGGCUCACCAAGGCGACGAUCAGUAGCUGGUCUGAGAGGAUGACCAGCCACACUGGGACUGAGACACGGCCCAGACACCUACGGGAGGCAGCAGUGGGGAAUCUUGCGCAAUGGGCGAAAGCCUGACGCAGCCAUGCCGCGUGAAUGAUGAAGGUCUUAGGAUUGUAAAAUUCUUUCACCGGGGACGAUAAUGACGGUACCCGGAGAAGAAGCCCCGGCUAACUUCGUG
rnacentral:rRNA from 1 species